rnacentral:tRNA from 1 species
GCUCAGUUAGUUAAGGGUCGGACUCCUGACUUUGGCUCAGGUCAUGAUCUGAGUCGUGGGAUCAAGCCCUGCAUUGGGUG